UGUGAUGACAGCACUGAAUCCUGCUGAGAUCUUCUCUGACUACCCAUACUCACAACAGUGAAGGUUAGGACUGGGUGACAAUGCAGGUACUUCAGAGCUGGCCUGUGGGGUAGGAGAGGUGAAUGAGGUUGCUAAUACCUUUCUCAGCUGUACAGCAAAGUCAUGCCUCUUCUGUCACCUGUGGAUGGUGUGGGACGGCGCUGUUGCCAACUCUGAUCACCGGUGACAACCAGGCCCUUCCCUCCCACGGACGGUAGAAGCAGUGUGAAGCUGUGCACACAUGACAUGGAAGGCACGGUCCUCCUGGGGUUGUGCCAGGCUCUGCAGAUUGGGCACGGCACUGCCUGCCAGUGUUUCAGAGAAUCUCAGGCGAUGAGGAGCCUACAUCAUCUGUGGAAGGGGGACUAAGAGUUAACUGUUUCCAGCUGUGUAUUCUUUGGAUGCAUUUCCACUCCAGCUUUUUCCAUAAUACGGAGCCGGCCCAUUUCCAAAUCCCAGAUGUGCUAUUUAUUUACUCCAAAGCAUCUGGGCCCCGACGUGGUCUUGUCACUGCAACGUGGCAAACUUGUGAAGGAUAGGAGUGGCAGCCAGCUAACAAACUGUACCGUGCUGGCGAGCGAGUCUGUACAAAUUAGAAUCCAACCAACUUGUUUUGCACAUCACAUCAGGAACCAGAUGUACCCCUGGAGUAAUUCCACUGAUGCAGAGAGACUUCAGGAAAGCAUCUCUGGCACAGUAGAAGGAUAAAGCAUUGCUGGUGUUGGUAGAUGGGCACUUCUAGAUCUGCAGCGAGCAUGGCUGAC
rnacentral:lncRNA from 1 species